CAACUACAGUUCCUCAAACAAUCAUGAUUUGGCACAGAAACACAAAAAUGUCAUGACACCUGUCAUAAAUGAGGCCAUCAAUGCCCUUCUCCCUGAGUAUCCUCCUGUUCUCAUGGUCAUUGUUGUCAUCUCCCCAGCAGAAAACCACCAGGCCUUUGGACUGGGCCUCUGUAAUGCAGUCCAUGUUGCGCAGCAGAUCCUCAGUGUGAGCACUGAUACCCUGUGAACAAGAACAAAGGGCAAGUUCCUUUUUUUUUUUUUUUUACAUGAAAGAACAAACUUCCAAAACUAAACAUACCACAUAAUGGCUCAUUCAGUGUCAGUCACCACCUACAAGUAUGUAUUUGCAAAUAUAUUUAGAGAAGCAACUGCAAUGUGCUGUAAACUAACCCUGAUAAAAAUGAUAGAAUGAAAUCAGUGUUUGUUAUAGUUUUAUUUUUUCAACAUUCAUUACAGGUUUAUGCCACAUCUCUGUUGAAUUCUUGAAUCUGAACGCGUGGAUUAAUUUUCUGCAACAGCAGCUUUGAGGUUUUCUGUAAGGACAGAUUUAGUUCACAUUUAUGAAGAAGUGAAGUCUACAGGGUCAGCAUUCUGUUCUGGAACAGUCAACACAUGUUCGACCACAGGACACAGGGUAUCUGCACAUUUUUCAAGUACAAAUUUAAAGACAUUUAAGACCUUUUCAAGAUCUCUAAAUGGAAAAAUUAAGACUGUACCAUGGCAAAGAAAAUGAUAUGACAACGUAAAACUGUUUUCUGCAAUAGUUUUUUUUUAUACUAACUUUAAGAAUGCACACAAUUGGUGAACAAUAGGGUGCAUCAAUGGCAACUGUUAGACAUGCAAACAGCUGAAGCAAAGUCGUGUGUUCUGGGCCUGCAGAACUACUGUAGCAGCAAGGAGAAGACUGGAGAAAACACCAUGAAUCAUUUCAAAAACGAAAACAAUAAACGGCAAGUAGAACCAGCUGAACAACCUUAGCCGGCAUUGUUUCAAUCCCCAAAGAUUAUCUUUGAUGAUGUGUGAUUUUGUGUCUGACAGCAAAAUCAGUCUGAGUGUCGUACAGUAUACAGCUGGCUGAGGAAGUUCUUCUGCAUUAUAGCAGGAAAGCGAGUUCAGUUGCACCAGUCCUCCUGGAGUGAGCUGAGGGUUGUUGGUAAAACCCGGGACGGAAUGGGACGUGACCUAUUGCUCGGGCAGUGACCUCCCCGCAGUUGUUGCUAAAACCGGAGACGUCCCGUUCCGUCCCGGGUUUUAGUAAUUGCCUGAGCCGAGCAGUAAUGGCGGAGUACUCAGUAUGGAGAAUGAGUGGAGCAGCCAUCUUAUUUCUAAACUGGAUAUUGCUGCCAUCUUGCCCUUACGUGGAAGAAGUGAAUGAACGGAGAACUGAACAAACAACUGAAAGUCAGAUUGUUUCAAAAACAAUUGGCCACAAGAUCGGCCUUCAAGAAGUGAGAACACAGACGGUUAAGCUCCGACUCUCAUUUGGAUUAAAAAAAAAAAAAAAAAAAAACACCACCACGUUGUUUACCUGCAUUUAGAUUAAUACAUUUAACUUGCAUUGUGUGUUUAAGUUACCGGUAGAGGUCUGCACGGGUCGGAUUUUUCAGUCCCGCGCCCGCCCGCGCCCGCAUUGUGCAGUCCCACUCCCGCCCGCGCCCGCAAAAAAUUAUGAUUUUCAGUCCCGCUCCCGCCUGCGCCUGCCAUAUUUUGUCCCGCUCCCGCCCGCAAAUCCCGCAUGAUGCAGACGUUCGCGUUAUUUCUCAGGAAAGUUCUUGUCUUGACACAGCGUGAUGGUGCCCCGCCCCCUGCUUUGAGUGGAUUUCAGCAUAAAUAUCUACAGCUCACGUUAUUAUUAUUUACCUUGUUUCGGAAUUCAGCAUGUACUAUCUCUAAUAAUAAUAAUUAGUGCUGUAAAGAGAUUAAAAUAUUUAAUCACGAAUCACACGUUUUUAUCAUAUGAGAAACCAUUGUAAUUCUCUGAUCAGCAUAAAAAAGUGAAUGGGCUUGCUUUGUACCAAUGAUGGUGGUGGGUGUGUGUGGGGGUGUGGUUUUUUUUUUUAUU